GACGAACGCUGGCGGCGUGCUUAACACAUGCAAGUCGAACGCUGAAGCUCAGCUUUUGUUGGGUGGAUGAGUGGCGAACGGGUGAGUAACACGUGAGUAACCUGCCCCCUUCUUUGGGAUAACGCCCGGAAACGGGUGCUAAUACUGGAUAUUCACUGGUCUUCGCAUGGGGGUUGGUGGAAAGGGUUUUUCUGGUGGGGGAUGGGCUCGCGGCCUAUCAGCUUGUUGGUGGGGUGAUGGCCUACCAAGGCUUUGACGGGUAGCCGGCCUGAGAGGGUGACCGGUCACAGUGAGACUGAGAUACGGCCCAGACUCCUACGGGAGGCAGCAGUGGGGAAUAUUGCACAAUGGGCGCAAGCCUGAUGCAGCGACGCCGCGUGAGGGAUGGAGGCCUUUGGGUUGUGAACCUCUUUCGCUCAUGGUCAAGCCGCAACAAUGGUUGUGGUGAGGGUAGUGGGUAAAGAAGCGCCGGCUAACUACGUG
rnacentral:rRNA from 1 species